GCAGUCGAGCGGAGCUAACCUUCGGCUGUAGCUUAGCGGCGGACGGGUGAGUAACACGUAGGUAACCUGCCUGUAAGACUGGGAUAACUACCGGAAACGGUAGCUAAGACCGGAUAGCUGGUUUUCUCGCAUGAGGAGAUCAUGAAACACGGAGCAAUCUGUGGCUUACGGAUGGGCCUGCGGCGCAUUAGCUAGUUGGUGAGGUAACGGCUCACCAAGGCGACGAUGCGUAGCCGACCUGAGAGGGUGAACGGCCACACUGGGACUGAGACACGGCCCAGACUCCUACGGGAGGCAGCAGUAGGGAAUCUUCCGCAAUGGGCGCAAGCCUGACGGAGCAACGCCGCGUGAGUGAUGAAGGUUUUCGGAUCGUAAAGCUCUGUUGCCAAGGAAGAAAUGUAAGGAGAGUAACUGCUCUUUACUUGACGGUACUUGAGAAGAAAGCCCCGGCUAACUACGUGCCAGCAGCCGCGGUAAUACGUAGGGGGCAAGCGUUGUCCGGAAUUAUUGGGCGUAAAGCGCGCGCAGGCGGUUUUUUUAAGUCUGGAGGUUAAUUGCCAGGCUCAACCCUGUAUCGCCUUGGAAACUGGGAAACUGGAUUGUAAGGAAAGGAAAGUGGAAUUUCCACGUGGUACGGUGAAAUGCGUUUAAGAUGGGGAGGAACCCCAGUGGGCGAAGGCGAAUUUCUUGGCCUAUAAAUUGAACCCGAAGGGCCGAAAGCCGGGGGGAGCCAAACGGGAUUAAAAUCCCCGGGUAAAUCCAGCGCCGUAAAACAAGGAAUGCUUAGGUGUUUAGGGGUUUUCAAUCCCCUUGGGGCCGAAAGUUAA
rnacentral:rRNA from 1 species